UACAAUAUUUUGACUCUUUGUCUUAUUUGAAUUUUUUUUGCGUUUAAUAUUUUUAUUCUUACUCCAUGAUAAAACAUAAAUAGUAUUUUAUGCGUGACUAAUUUUUUUAAGUUUUUUUAAUAACUUUUUCAAAUAAGAAGAAUGGUUAAACGUUGGACACGGAAAAAC
rnacentral:pre_miRNA from 1 species